UAGCUCAGUCAGUAAAGAAUCUGCCUGUAAUGCAGGAGACCCAGGUUCAAUUCCUGG
rnacentral:tRNA from 1 species